rnacentral:lncRNA from 1 species
GAAAAUGUGAAAAUUCAUGAAGAGUGAUGAAAGAUGAUUGGUCAAAGGAAAAGAGGCAGAGAUCUAUCUUCUACAGAAUUCUUCAAUGAGCAGCUAGGUCCCCAUCAUUCUCAUUUUCAGAAGGAUAGCACAUACUGUGUAACAUGAAACAUGUUACUGCCCAUCUUCUGUUGACCAUCAGAUGGAGGUUUUAACCGGGGUUACAAUUCAUGACUCUGAUUAAUCACGAAUUAAUUUAAAUUCAUGAGAACAUGUGGUGCAGCAGAAAGCACUGAG